rnacentral:lncRNA from 1 species
ACUUGAGAUGCAGAACUUGAGGAAGGAGGAUCGGUACCACCAUCUUUCCCUCCAUCACCGCACUCAUCGUCCUCCUCCCCUCCCUCCGGCAAUGCCAGAUCUAGGACGCCCACGGUCGCGACCGGCUGGGAACAGAAGCUGUUCAUCGGCAUGGCAAGAUGAAGAUUUGAGGAUUUGCGGUAGAAGACAAGGAAAGAAAAAGAGGAUCUUGUGAGAGGAGAAACCUGAACAAGAGAUCCGUGAAUGACUCCCCGCCGAGAUUCAUUGGUGAUUUGUGAAGAAAUAUCGAGAUCCAGGCGCGGUGAUGAGGAG